AUAUUUAAUUUUUCUAGUUGUUUUUCAGUCGAACACCCUUUUGAGAUUGAUGUUUGCAUUUUUUACAACUAACAAUCCAAGCAUCGGAAUAAACCAAAAAAAAUAAAAUAAAUAUUUUUGUUAACUGAAUGUCAUAAAAUAUUAAGCAAAAGAAAAAUGUAUAUAAAAAAAGUGUGAGGAAAGAUUACCGUAAAUAAUACUCUGAAAUGAAAUACUUUUAGAGUUGCUGAGGAAAAAUACAGGGUUGAGGGUUUUGUAUUCAACAUGAUUUUCUACUCUUUUAUUAUUUUUACUGAUAUAUGUGUAUGUCUCUCUUUGUAUGCUUUUGUGACUAAUAAAAACUUCUUGAGAAA